rnacentral:rRNA from 1 species
AGUCGAGGGGCAGCGGGGGUAGCAAUACCCGCCGGCGACCGGCGCACGGGUGAGUAACGCGUAUGCAACCUGCCCUUCACAGGGGGAUAACCGGGAGAAAUUCCGACUAAUACCGCAUACGUCCUCCGGGGGCAUCCCCGGGGGAUGAAAGAAUUAUCGGUGAAGGAUGGGCAUGCGUGAUAUUAGGUAGUUGGCGGGGCAACGGCCCACCAAGCCCACGAUAUCUAGGGGUUCUGAGAGGAAGGUCCCCCACAUUGGUACUGAGACACGGACCAAACUCCUACGGGAGGCAGCAGUGAGGAAUAUUGGUCAAUGGACGAGAGUCUGAACCAGCCAAGUCGCGUGAAGGAAGACGGAUCUAUGGUUUGUAAACUUCUUUAGUGCGGGAACAAAGCGGCGUCGUGACGCCUGAUGAGUGUACCGCAAGAAUAAGCAUCGGCUAACUCCGUGCCAGCAGCCGCGGUAAUACGGAGGAUGCGAGCGUUAUCCGGAUUUAUUGGGUUUAAAGGGAGCGCAGGCUGCGAGGCAAGUCAGCGGUCAAAUGUCGGGGCUCAACCCCGGCCUGCCGUUGAAACUGUCCUGCUAGAGUUCGAGUGAGGUAUGCGGAAUGCGUUGUGUAGCGGUGAAAUGCAUAGAUAUGACGCAGAACUCCGAUUGCGAAGGCAGCAUACCAACUCGCGACUGACGCUGAGGCUCGAAAGCGUGGGUAUCGAACAGGAUUAGAUACCCUGGUAGUCCACGCAGUAAACGAUGAAUACUAACUGUUCGGAGGGCGACCUCUGAGUGGUAAAGCGAAAGCGUUAAGUAUUCCACCUGGGGAGUACGCCGGCAACGGUGAAACUCAAAGG